AUUGAACGCUGGCGGCAUGCCUUACACAUGCAAGUCGAACGGCAGCACGGGAGCAAUCCUGGUGGCGAGUGGCGAACGGGUGAGUAAAGUAUCGGAACGUGCCCAGUCGUGGGGGAUAACGUAGCGACAGUUACGCUAAUACCGCAUACGAUCUCUGGAUGAAAGCGGGGGAUCGCAAGACCUCGCGCGAUUGGAGCGGCCGAUAUCAGAUUAGGUAGUUGGUGGGGUAAAGGCUCACCAAGCCGACGAUCUGUAGCUGGUCUGAGAGGACGACCAGCCACACUGGGACUGGGACACGGCCCAGACUCCUACGGGAGGCAGCAGUGGGGAAUUUUGGACAAUGGGCGCAAGCCUGAUCCAGCCAUGCCGCGUGCAGGAUGAAGGCCUUCGGGUUGUAAACUGCUUUUGUACGGAACGAAAAGGUUUGACUUAAUACGUUGGACUCAUGACGGUACCGUAAGAAUAAGCACCGGCUAACUACGUGCCAGCAGCCGCGGUAACAC
rnacentral:rRNA from 1 species